UUAGCAUUAGCUUCUGAUCAAGGCUUCAAAUGUAAUAAUGGAUUGUAUUAAGUAUGGGUAUAGUGUUUGACUCUACUCAUAGCUGUACUAACUAUAAUCUUGCUCACUGUAGUGCGCCUUGUUUUGUCAUCGUUAAUUUUAUAUAUUUUAUUUUGCUUAAUUGUGUCCUAGCACACUUUAUUAUUUAUUGUAAUCAUCUAUGAACCACC
rnacentral:lncRNA from 1 species